GUCUUCACCUUCUCUGGCGUUACAGCGUCCUCCCACGCUCACGCCCGGAGGCGACACGGGCCCACAACAGGACAGGGAACCCCCCUGUCGGUUCCCCCACCCCACCCCCGAACACGGUGAACGCGGGCCGGCCUGGACAUUCGGGGCGACGAAAACGAAAGUACGACCGAGACCACAGGCAGCUGGGAAAACAGGCGAAUCAAUCGCUCACGGGAAACAAAGAGCGUGUCUGACCGUUCAUCGGUGACAGGACUAGUUUCAUGUACAUUGGUGUUUAGCCUGCACGUAUGUCUAUAAGAGUGUUGUAUGUUGGAUUCCCCUGGACUGGACUUGGAGACAAUUGUGAGCUGCCAUGUAGAACCUCUUCAGAUCCCGAAUAACUGGACCUGCUGGAUGGGUCAAGGAGGAAAUAAAAGAAGAAUAAAAGAAAAAAAUAAAGAAGAAAAGUAUCUACAUGGUGUGGAUUGUCUAUCAUAUAGUUGAUCCUGGGCAGUAAA